UACGUAGGGGGCAAGCGUUGUCCGGAUUUAUUGGGCGUAAAGAGCGUGUAGGCGGCCAGGUAGGUCAGCUGUGAAAACUCGAGGCUCAACCUCGAGACGUCGGUUGAAACCAUCUGGCUAGAGUCCGGAAGAGGAGUGUGGAAUUCCCGGUGUAGCGGUGAAAUGCGCAGAUAUCGGGAAGAACACCCGUGGCGAAGGCGGCACUCUGGGACGGUACUGACGCUGAGACGCGAAAGCGUGGGGAGCGAACAGG
rnacentral:rRNA from 1 species